UGUCCGGAGCCUGUGCUCCGCAACGGGAGAGGCCACAACAGUGAGAGGCCCGUGUACCGCAAAAAAAAAAAAAAAAAAAAAAAAAAAAUAGGCCUCCUCCUUCGGGAGGCCAAGAGAGGUGAGAAGUGCAGAGGGAAACACCAACGGUAGGCCCUGAGAUCUAUCCCAACCCGGUCAGAGUCUCCAGCGCUGCCGGGGUUCCUGGACAGACUCUGGUUCUGACAUCUUCACCGGGAAGUAGCUUUAAAGGAGCGUGUGCUUACAAGCUGUGCUGCUGAACCCCCAUUACUCUGCUAUCUUGUCUAACCUAGUGAUGCCACAAGAUUCUUUCAAAAAACUGUUACCAUGGGAACUUUUCUCUCUCAAGCAUUUUUCAAGAAAUGUUACAGGUGCUGCAGAAUUCAAUGCCCUUGGUCUCAGUAAGCAUUUUCUGAGUCUUUGAACGUGUGGUUUCAACCGAGAGGACUUUCAAACCCAUGAUGCAAGGGUUUUGAACACAAAUCUCUUCAAGGGAUGGGGUUAAUCACACAGGGCAUGGGUGCUAUGAUGGCCCGAGGCCCCACUAGGCACGCAAAUUCUGAACCACAGGGCCUUUAACGCAGCCUAUCCGCUAAACAGAAGACCCCAUAGGGAUAUAAGCAGCUCAGAGGGUGACCCCAAUAAGGGAUGCUGUGGUUAUCAUCCCUACCAUGGGAUUUCCCUUCUCAUCAGAACUGGGAGGUGGUCAACAACACAACAAGGCGUCCAUCCAGGCAGGGCAAGAGCCACCAUCCCCCACUGAACCCCUGGUCCUAGGUCAGCACAUCAGCUCAUCUCUCAACUAAGCCGUGUUAGCCCAAGCCUUCUCCUCUUCUAAAUUCCUGUGACGAAAACACCAUCGACCUUCUAUAAUAUAAACAGCGCAGAUCUGGUAGGAACCAAUACAUCUUCCUGUCCCGACGUGGCAAUGUUGCCAGGUAACAAUGUAGAAAUACACUCAGAAAACUGUAUGUGACAAUAUACAACCUCCGCUCCGCAGCUGAUAACCGAGGGAGUGUUAAAACACCAUGUUCUCUGAACACUUGGGCUCUUGGUGCGAAAAGAAAAUUAAACGGGAUAUUUCCUCUUGUAAAUAUAAGACAGGCAUACGACUCACACAUGCAGCCACUAACUGCGAACGGUAGAGGGGUUUGCCGCAGCCAUCUGCAAUGCACCCCAGCUUUCACUCUCCUGCCCCUCCACUCCCCCCCAACAUGGAUUCCAGAAAACUAAGAGAAACGUAACCAAGCACGAGCCUCUCCUGUGUUAGGGACAAGUUCACCUCUGACCAGAGAAAGGACACCAGUGGCAACUACAGAAAAACUCAUACCUUAUUAUAAAACUGGGUGUGCUUCCAUCGUGUGGUUCCUAAGUUGACUUAGAGAAUUCACUGCAUGACCAAGCAGUGACCACUUGCUUCUCAGAUCAAAUAACUAGCGCUGCCUACCCGCUCCCAACAGUGACGAGGAAGAUGCAAAGCCACCACAGUGGAUGUAGGGCACUGAUUAACUCCCUGGCAUUGGACCCAUGCAACUUCAAGGCUGUCCAGCACGGUAGAAAGUCAAGAGGUUUUUGAGGGAGAUAGACCCGGGUACCGAAUCUCAGCUCUGCGAACUGGGUGACUUUGCGUAAGACCUCCCUCGAUCUUUUGGGACUCAGUUUUCUUAUCCAGAAUUGGGGUUAUCCCACCUCGCCCAGAUCAAGUACACAGCAGCACCAUGCGCUGUGCCUGCCCUGCAACGGGCACUUUAUAAAGGCAACAAGUCCUUUCCUUUUCCUUCUGCAACACAAACAUUCUUCAACCUGCCCAAGACUCGAAUAUGGGGAGAAUCCAGUGCAUGGAGCUUCUUCAUGCAAAAUGGGCAAAAGAUGAGCUCUAAUAAGCCUCACAUUAACCGAAGUACAUAUGCUCCUUUAGAUGCAAGUGAAAAUCAAAACUUCUGGCAAUAUAAUCUAACUUUUCUUAGGAGCCCUAAUUCAAUGAGCUGCCCUCUGUCUCCACGGAGAGGAAGUUAUGCAAGAGACCUUCCUUCCCAUUAACUUUCAUGGACCUGAGACCCUGGAACCCGCUAGAGGGGAAGCAGCAUGUGUGGCACAUAUAACUUUUAUUUGGCAAAUGAGAUGCCCAGCCUGAAAGGUAAAGUCUUUCGUGCUUCUCUUCUCCAUCAUGCACAGGCCGGUGAUGUAACCAAAGCAAAGACACACAAGCCAUCUCAGGACUUCUCUGGAAGGCAGACUGCCCUCCACAAUGAGCCCACUAACAAAAAGAAGAACAAAGAGAGAGAAGCCACACAUUCUGCAGAGGGGCUGAGAGCUCAGGCUCUUCUCUGUAUUUAUUCAUUACGUAGAGAUCGAGUUACCUUUACCCAACACAUGCAGAGACUUCCCUGGGGAACGUGGGGUUGAAACAAACCCUGAUACAACUACCAGCUAGCUCUGUGACACUAAGCAAGCAACUUGACCUCUCAGAUCCUCUAUUUCCUGCUGAGCAGAAAGGGGUCCAGGCGGUACCUGCCCACACAGGACCACCACGCAGAGUAAAUGAGAUCGUGCAGAGAAACCAAGCCUCGCUCCUGGCACGUGAGCGUUCAGACUUUGGUACUCAUUAUUAUUACCACCAACUACAGUUACUAUAAAGAAGAAAAGGAGAAGGAAGAGCUCCAUCGAGAAUCUCUGGCAUCACAAGGAGAUUUCUCCAAAUUGACUUUAUAUAUUUCCCUUGGGUUCUGAUAAACUUAACUCCUUCUCUCACCUAAAGAAAGUGCCUCUUUAAAAUUGUGAUAACCGUUCACAACACAUUUCACAUCCUCAUGUUUAUAUUGGGAAAAGAACAAGAUGACGAACGUAACAUGGUGGCGACAUACGGUCCAGACUUUGAUUCAUUCAGGGAACAUUUAUUGAGCACCCACCAUGGUCCAGGUGCUGGGAAGUAAGACUGAGGCUUGACCCUGGGAGAAAUUACACUCUUGGGUGGGGGGAGGAGAGGAAGACAUAAAACCAAAAAGAAACUGUGAGCAAUGACUGCGUAUUAGGCACCAUUCUGAGCUGCUGUGUGCUUUCCAUAUAUUAUCUCAUUUAAUCCCCAGAGGAGCCCUACGGAGCAGGAUUCUCUACGUGUAUUUGCUACGUACAGAUUGACUUCCCUUCAUCCAACACAUGCAGAGACUUCUCUGGGGAGCCUGGGGGUGAGACUUGAUCUCUGCCUCCUCGGGUCUUACAAUGAGCCUCCAUUUCAGGAGUGGUGACUGCUGAGUAAAUGAACUGCCCAGACAAAGAGACCACUACUUCUGCCUCAGGGGAUCAACAAGUUUCCAGAGCAGGAGGCAAUUUAAACAGAGCUCAGGGAGCGUGCCAGGCAAAGGGAAAGCGGCACGUCCCACACGGAGCAGAGGCAUCUGAGUACACGGCCAGGGCCGGGCAAACGAGCAGGUUGCAGCCACAGGACAAUGAACGCGGGGGUGAGCGUGGGAACCCAGGCAGGGCCAGGCACGUGGGCACCAGUGGAUCGCAGCAACAGGGCAGUGGAUUUGAUCUUCCGCGGAAGGCUGUUAGGACAAGGAAUGAGGUGGUCCGGCCUUCAUCUGGCGGGGCGGGGUGGGCAUCACUGACAGCAGUAUGGAAGAGAGAAAUGUCCGGAGGCAGGGAGGCCUUGAAGAGCCCGUCUCAGGCUCAGAACUCAGAUGGCCCGUUCUGGCAGAUGGUAUAGGAUGCUUGUCAGGGGCAGGAAUUCUGAAGCCAGAGUGCCUCGUUUCCAACCCCAGCUCCCCCAGCCCCAGCCGGGUCACUUUGGGCAUGUCAUGUAGCCUCCAGGUGUCAACUGUCUGGCUCAUUACAAGUCUGAACUAAGUCCUGACUAUUAGAAUACUGGGAGGUAGAGGAGACGCAGAAUGAGUUCCUGAUGAAAAUCAAGAGGGAGGAGUUGAUGACAUCAAGGUUUCCAGCUCGGGUGACUGCACAGGUGGCGGUGGGAAGUCCACUGACCUAGAUACAGAACACAAGAAGGCCAAUGCGGUGGAGGACUGGAGGUGAUGGGCACGCCUGGGGUGGCGUGAACUGAGAGUUAACGCAGGUGGAGAUGCCCAACAGGGAUCUGCGCAGAAAUCUGGAGAUGAUCACAGAGUCAAAUUUUGGAGAUCAUGGAAAACCCGAGGUUUCCUCUGAAGAUAUCUCUUCUUAGAAACUAAUUCCUGCUUAUGGGUUUUCUAGGAAGCAAGAAGAUGAACACUUUGUAUCCAAAGAUCUCCCCCCAACUCCCUAACGACCGCAUUCCUGUUAGGGAAGGCCAGAAGAGCACAUGUAUGGAACCGUCCACUUCUGCCUACGGUGUUGGCUUUGCUACGCAGGAAAGAAGAAAAGUAACAUUGGGUCUCCAGUUCCUCUACAGGCACGAGCUGGUGGGCACAUCUUCCCCUCGGACCACCGCAACAGGACUGUGCUUCUCAAACGCAAGUGACAAAGAACACGCUGACCAUCUUUGCAGUCAUGUUCUGUCCUCAACUGCAGUAGGUCCGUGCAUCAUCCAGGGCCCACAACACUUGGACAGCUGGGGGCGUUCAUUCAAGUCUUAUAUUCCCAACAAUGGGAACUACAUUUGGAUUUUGAGUCUUCACUGCAAAACCUUGGUCUAGACCCAUAAUCCUAAAAGACUCUUGUUCAGUGACACACCAGUUUCCUGGGGAUGGAGAGGAAGGGCCUAUGUCCAAGGAUGACUUAGACCAAAAAGUAAGAAUAAAAAUAAUAAUACACAGAAGGAAAGAAAAAGUCCUGGGUCAGGGAGCAGGUAACUGGACUGCCUGUUGCUUUCUGCUUUGCCCAGAAUGUCCGGCAGCGUAAAAAACCAGUACCCGAAGCAAUGAAGCCUCCCACCCUCCUGGACCUCCGAUGUUAGCUCAAAUACAGAAAGAGUGAGAGGGACUUAGGUGAACAGUGUGUGAAAACAACAUACGACAGCACACCCCCCAGGCCCACUGGAUCAUCAACCACUAGACAGAAGCAAAUUAUCAGAAGUUGGAUUUUUGACGGAGAACAAAUUGAAGAAAACAAAGCUCAUUUUUAAAUAAUAAAGACUGUGUUAACACAAAAAAUCA